AAGGUUUUCUGCUCCUUUAUUUCAAGCAGAAAAUUUGCCGGAAAACCAAGCUCAUCUCGCUGGGAUUCCUUCCUGAGAAGCAGGUUUCCCUCUCACUGAAACGCUCCACAGUCCCCCAAUGAUUCCUCUUCACUUCUGCUCCUCAAGAGCUAGGUUUAAAGAAGAGAUUUGAAAUAAUAUACUUCCUUCUUCUUUGUGAUUGAAUCUAUGGUGGUAAUAAAACAAAAAAAUAAAGAGCAGCUGUGCAGAGAUGUGACCAUGACUCCAUAAUUUCCAGUUAACUUUGAACAACAACAAAAGGCUGAAAUGCAAGAAAAUUAAAAUCUUCCUUGGAGCAGAGAUUCUGGUAUAUGCCUCCUGGCUCCUAAUGAAAGUCAACUCUUCGGGAGCAAACCUCACCUCAGGACGAAAGCAGAAAGGAGUUGAACACUCACUUAAGGAAAGUGUAUAGAUUCCUAUUGUAUGUAAAGUGCACGAAGACAAACAUUUUUAUUAUUUUAAAUAAAU